UACGAAGGGGGCUAGCGUUGCUCGGAAUCACUGGGCGUAAAGGGUGCGUAGGCGGGUCUUUAAGUCAGGGGUGAAAUCCUGGAGCUCAACUCCAGAACUGCCUUUGAUACUGAAGAUCUUGAGUUCGGGAGAGGUGAGUGGAACUGCGAGUGUAGAGGUGAAAUUCGUAGAUAUUCGCAAGGACACCAGUGGCGAAGGCGGCUCACUGGCCCGAUACUGACGCUGAGGCACGAAAGCGUGGGGAGCAAACAGGG
rnacentral:rRNA from 1 species